CUGUUGAAAGCAAUAGGGGCGCUCUUUGAUCGCUAUCCACUAGCAGCUGAGAUGAUGCUCAAGGCGUAUGGCGCCGAAGAAGGGAAACACCCAGACGUGCAUUUCGAUCUUUUCGCACACAAACGCUGAUGAAUGAUCUCGAGGACCCUUGUGGCCAGCCCUCUGCUAUUAAUAUAUAAUAACUACGUAGACGGAAUUAAUGUCUUCUUUUUUUUUCCUUGUUUGCCAACGAGAUUAAUUUAUUCCCUUUGAGUUAAAUAUUUUCCAUUAUUCAAUCAACGAAAA